UGCCCAUGGCUAAAUCGGUUACAGCGUCCGACUUUUAACCUCAAGUUGUAUCGGAAGGUGGUGAGUUCGAGCCUCACUUGGGCAG